rnacentral:lncRNA from 1 species
AACGUUCUAAAAAUGGUAUAAAAGAUUUAUAAAUUAGGGAAUGAGAGUGUAACUGGAGGACUUUGCUUGUAUUCCAGGUCUAGAAAGCAGCUUGUUGCCACAAGACUAUGCAGACGAGCGCUGGUGAAGAGAUAUAAAGCUAGGCUAUCAAAGACACAACAGGAGAAAUUAAAAGUUUCAACAGAAUCAGGACAAUUGAAUCAAAUUUCACNCGAGGAGGAAAAGUUAGAUUCCAGAGAUGAACUUUUUAAAGACGAUAGAUUUGCGUAGAGGAAAUGGACGCAAAUUAUGAAUAUCUUACAUUAAUUCCACUGCACUUCUAGAGCGUAAAUUAAGAACUUCACGAUUAUUAGAGAUAGACUAUCUAAUACACAGAUAAAUAUUGUAUAGUUUAAUUUAUUUUAAUAGUAGAAUCUACACGAGCCAAAGCAGUCUUCAGCAUCCGAUUUAUUAGUAACAAUUGCUUUGCUUUUUUCUGCAUGUGUCCGUGCGCCAGAACUGAACUGGCUUUGCCAUUCAACAUGAACAAUGCAACUUCCAUCUAAGAUUAUNUUGCUUUUGAACUUACAAGCCUUAGUUAAUUUAAUUGAAAAUAAAAUUUGAAAACACUU